rnacentral:misc_RNA from 1 species
GCAAACUUGGUCAUUUAGAGGAAGUAAAAGUCGUAACAAGGUUUCCGUAGGUGAACCUGCGGAAGGAUCAUUACUGAAGACUGUCGCAAGGCAGAUAUCCUUCAAACUCUCACUGUGUGGAGGUGCUGGGCGAUUUUCUCGUUCAGCACGGAAACCAGUGUGAUUUACCUUCUGGUAACAAAAGUCUGAUACUAUACAUAACAAACCAAAACUUUCAACAACGGAUCUCUUGGUUCUCGCAUCGAUGAAGAACGCAGC